AGACUCGUUGUGUAAUGGUAGCACAGCAGAUUUUGGUUCUGUUAGUUGGGGUUCAAAUCCCUACGGGUCUGCUA
rnacentral:tRNA from 1 species